rnacentral:rRNA from 1 species
UGCGUGAAGUUGGAAUCGCUAGUAAUCGCGGAUCAGCAUGCCGCGGUGAAUACGUUCCCGGGCCUUGUACACACCGCCCGUCACACCAUGAGAGUCGGGAACACCCGAAGUCCGUAGCCUAACCGCAAGGGGGCGCGGCCGAAGGUGGGUUCGAUAAUUGGGGUGAAGUCGUAACAAGGUAUC